AUUGAACGCUGGCGGCAUGCCUUACACAUGCAAGUCGAACAGCAGCACGGGAGCAAUCCUGGUGGCGAGUGGCGAACGGGUGAGUAAUAUAUCGGAACGUGCCCAGUCGUGGGGAUAACGUAGCGAAAGCUACGCUAAUACCGCAUACGAUCUAUGGAUGAAAGCGGGGGAUCGCAAGACCUCGCGCGAUUGGAGCGGCCGAUAUCAGAUUAGGUAGUUGGUGAGGUAAAGGCUCACCAAGCCGACGAUCUGUAGCUGGUCUGAGAGGACGACCAGCCACACUGGGACUGAGACACGGCCCAGACUCCUACGGGAGGCAGCAGUGGGGAAUUUUGGACAAUGGGCGCAAGCCUGAUCCAGCAAUGCCGCGUGCAGGAUGAAGGCCUGGUUGUAAC
rnacentral:rRNA from 1 species